rfam:Streptomyces bungoensis strain DSM 41781 genomic scaffold PRJNA299233_s010, whole genome shotgun sequence.
CGGGCGGUGUACUCCCAGAUGGCCUCCGGGUCCAGCAGGGCGUCCUCGCCGAAGUAGGCGCCGUCGGCGAGGACCCCGAGGACCGCGUCGUCGCCGUAGGGGCCCGUGCCGACCUUCUCCACCCUGCCGUGGGCCAGCAGGUAGACCCCUUCGGUGCGGCUGCCGAAGGAGGUGAUGACCUCACCGGGCGCGAAGUCCCGCUGGCGGCAGCGCCGGGCCAGUUCGGCGAGCACCUCGUCGUCCUCGUAGGAGCGCAGCGCCGGCAGCUCGCCGAGUUCGGCGGGGAUCACCUCGACCUGGUCCCCGGUCUUGACGAAGGUGAUGCGCCCGUCGCCGACGGUGUAGGUCAGCCGCCGGUUCACCCGGUACGUGCCGCCCUGCAGGUCGACCCACGGCAGUGUGCGCAGCAGCCAGCGGGAGCUGAUCUCCUGCAUCUGGGGGACGGACUUGGUGGUGGUGGCCAGGUUCCGCGCUGCCGCCGUGCCGAGAGACUGCUGCGG